UCGGUUGAAAAUAGAAUUGGGAUAAACUUUAUCUCCAUCAGAGAAAGAUGACCUACGUCUCGUCUAAUUGGCUCCAUCUCCAACCUGGUGAAGCAGUUAUACAUAACGCGCCAGGAGAUUUUUUCCACUGCAACUAACCCUACUUUCUGUUUCCGAAAACACCUGAAGAACUCCACAUGACAGAAAAAGCAAUUCGCCAGCAGAAUGAAUAAGAGAAGAAAAAGCAAGUUUACGCUAUACGAUACACGACUGAAGCAAUAUUCUAGAAGCACUGCAAGAGACCGAAUUGGGGAAUUGGAGUCGACACAAUAGUCAAGCUACAUACCCUAGUGAAUUAACCACCUGGCUACUGCGGGAUAUCCACUCAACACUACUGGACGAUGGCUUCGUGAAAUAUUAUCCUGAGAGACGAUUUUGCAUGGCGCCGAAUAUGCUGCCGGGAAUAACUAGUCGUCGGGAUUACAGGUGACGAUCGACCGCAGGUUGCGAGAGUCGUCAGAUUCACUCUGAUGAAGAAUAGCUACAAAGAGACAUUAGUACUCCAGCAGCAUGAUCUCUCCCUGUCGUCGUGGCCUCCUGCAUAGCUUCUUCAGCGACCUGCAGACACUCCGUUUCCCGGCCCAGCACGUUGUCGUCCAACUGCACCCUUCCAGAACUACGUCCUUACAAUAAUCUCCAGUCAUUAUUGUGGUAUCGCCCAAUAUAACAGAUCAUUAUGCAUUAGAUCGAAAUCGGUUGCGCUGUACCACAGAUCACUUUAACAUUUUGAUAGGUCCCAGUUGGAUAUGAUACGCGGCAAGGCGGCUUUCUCUGGAUGAGCGAUAGACGCGGUGCAAUCGACAAUUCGUUUGGUCUCAAUCUUAGAUAGUGAGUUGUCGCACAAAAGCAGUGUAUUCAACCUUAUUCUCUGGUUCCUCUCUCGUAGACCGAAUGCUGUCGUACGUCAACCGAAUCUCGUGUAGGACAAGUCUUUCCCCUAGAGCUUCUAUCCGAGAACUCGAGGCAGGGACCAUUCCACAGCCAUAUCAGUGGUACUUACUAUUUAGUCCCCAAUCCCUCAGCGUCCGGAUGCAGAUCUCCCGGUUCCGUGGACACUUCUGCAGCUUCUCAGGCCGGAGAGAGGCAGAUGCAACGUGCAUCAAUGGCAUACGCACGGCCUAACCAACAAACCUUGAUAUAGUAGACUUGGGAAAGAACGGGAUUGCCGAAUCUAGGCUUUGCUCGAAUAUCAUGUUGGCUCUAUCAGCGAGAGUGAGAACAGCUGCAUGUCGGGACCAGCGUACGACGACAGAUAUUGAUGGGGCCAACAUGAAAAAACAUUGAGACAUUGUAGAGUAUCCCAUCUAGAUUCUAAUAGUAGCAGCAGGAAAGUUCA
rnacentral:lncRNA from 1 species